rnacentral:rRNA from 1 species
CGGAGGAAAAGAAACUAACAAGGAUUCCCUCAGUAGCGGCGAGCGAAGCGGGAAAAGCUCAAAAUGGUAACCGACGCGGGCUUGCACCGCGGCGGGUUGUAAUGUCAAGUGGGAUCGCCAGCCUCGCUCCGGGUAGAAAUCCGCUCUUUUGGAACACGGUGUCAUAGAGGGUGAUAACCCCGUAUGUGACUCGGGUAGCGAUGCGGUACGGUGACCUUACAAAGAGUCGGGUUGCUUGGGAAUGCAGCCCUAAGUGGGUGGUAAACUUCAUCUAAAGCUAAAUAUCAACGAGAGACCGAUAGUGUACAAGUACCGCGAGGGAAAGAUGCAAAGAACUUUGAAAAGAGAGUUAAAAAGGGCUUGAAACCGUUAAGAAGGAAGCGUAGGAGGCCAGUGAUCAUGGGGCCAGAUCUCCAGGUGUCCCCCCCCCCCCCCCCCUUYRRGGGGGGGGGGGUGGUGGGGGGGCACCGUAUCGUUCUGGUAACGGGGCAGCGCCGGCUGGGUGCGAGCGAAAUCGGAGCCUAGUCGAGCAAUUAGCUUUGCACUAUCCUCUAACGGCUCGCGACCUGGCCGAGGGAUCCGCAAUAUUUUGCGCGUGAGGGCGCUGUCAAAAUAGCCUUUUACAUCCCGUCUUGAAACACGGACCAAGGAGUCUAACAUACCCGCGAGUGUUUGGGUGUGCAAAACCCGGACGCGCAAUGAAAGUAAGUCUGGCGGCAUGUUUGUCGCCAACCAGGUGGGACCCGCUACUCUUAAAAGAGAGCGGCGCACCAUCACCCGACUGUGAGCCCCUUGGGGUGAGUGGUUUGUGGCGGAGCGAGUAUGCUGGGACCCGAAAGAUGGUGAACUAUUCCUGAGUAGGGUGAAGCCAGAGGAAACUCUGGUGGAAGCUCGAAGCGAUGCUGACGUGCAAAUCGCUCGUCAAACUUGGGUAUAGGGGCGAAAGACUAAUCGAACCAUCUAGUAGCUGGUUCCCUCCGAAGUUUCCCUCAGGAUAGCGGGAGCAAAUUUGACCUCAGUUUCAUCCGGUAAAGCGAAUGAUUAGAGGACUCGGGGAAGUAACUUCUUCGACCUAUUCUCAAACUUUAAAUAGGUGAGGCGCUUCGGUUAUUUUACUAAACCGUUGCGGACAAUGAUUGCUCUCAGUGGGCCAUUUUUGGUAAGCAGAACUGGCGAUGCGGGAUGAACCGAAAGCGACGCUAAGGUGCCAAACUCCACGCUCAUUCAGAGACCAUAAAAGGUGUUGAUUCAUCUAAACAGCAGGACGGUGGCCAUGGAAGUCGGAAUCCGCUAAKGAGUGUGUAACAACUCACCUGCCGAAUGAAUUAGCCCUGAAAAUGGAUGGCGCUCAAGCGUGGGACCGAUGCGUCGCCGUUGAGGCAAAUGCGAUGCCUUGAUGAGUAGGAGGGCGUGGGGGUUUUUGAUUUUUGCAGCGAAGCCUUGGGCGUAAGCUCCGGUGAAGCGGCCCCUAGUGCAGAUCUUGGUGGUAGUAGCAAAUAUUCAAGUGAGACCCUUGAAGACUGAAGUGGGGAAGGGUUCCACGCGAACAGCGAUUGGACGUGGGUUAGUCGAUCCUAAGAGAUGGGGAAACUCUGUAUUCAAGUGUGCUAUCCUUAGCGCAGUCCAUCGAAAGGGAAGCGGGUUAACAUUCCCGCACCAGGAUGUGGAAUACAAACGCGGCAACGCAAAUGAACUUGGGGACGCCCGUAGGAGCUUCGAGCAGGGUUCUCUUUCCUGCUUAACGCGCUCAACCCCCUGGAAACGGUUUAGCCGGAGAGAGGGGGCGACAGCCGGAAAAGCAUCGCUCGUCUUGACGGUGUUCGGAGCGCUUCUAAUGGCCCUUGAAAACCCAGGGGAAGGACGUUUGCAGUAGCUUUUUUCUACUGUGCAUUUUCACACCAGGCCGUACCCAUAACCGCAUCAGGUCCCCAAGGUGAACAGCCUCUAGUCAAUAGAAUAAUGUAGGUAAGGGAAGUCGGCAAAAUAGAUCCGUAACUUUGGGAAAAGGAUUGGCUCUAAUUUUCGGGCUGGUGGGCCGUCUCGGGCUUGACGCCCGCCCGCGGCUAACUUUUAUCUUGGCAACGGGAUGGAUCGACGCUGUUGGUGGGACGAAACCGUUACGAGCGGAAGCUUUUUGCUUCCCCACCCGCCAGUAAAAUAACGAAAACAUUAGAACUGGAACGGACGAGGGGAAUCCGACUGUUUAAUUAAAACAAAGCAUUGCGACGGUCGGAAACGAUGUUAACGCAAUGUGAUUUCUGCCCAGUGCUCUGAAUGUCAAAGUGAAGAAAUUCAAACAAGCGCGGGUAAACGGCGGGAGUAACUAUGACUCUCUUAAGGUAGCCAAAUGCCUCGUCAUCUAAUUAGUGACGCGCAUGAAUGGAUUAACGAGAUUCCCACUGUCCCUAUCUACUAUCUAGCGAAACCACAGCCAAGGGAACGGGCUUGGAAGAAUCAGCGGGGAAAGAAGACCCUGUUGAGCUUGACUCUAGUCCGACUCUGUGAAAUGAGUUAGGAGGUGUAGUCUAAGAGGGAGGGGCAACCCGACCGUGAAAUACCUCUACUCUUAAUCUUGUUUUACUUACUCUGCCGAGCAGGAGUGAGCAUCAACGCCCACUUUUUCGCAUUAACACCGGGGUGCCUCGGUCGACCUGCGCGGAGGACAUUGUCAGGUGGGGAGUUUGGCUGGGGCGGCACAUCUGUUAAAAGAUAACGCAGGUGUCCUAAGAUAAGCUCAGUGAGAACAGAAAUCUCACGUAGAACAAAAGGGUAUAAGCUUAUUUGAUUUUGAUUUUCAGUACGAAUGCAAACUGUGAAAGCAUGGCCUAUCGAUCCUUUUGAUGUUCAAAGUUUGAAGCAAGAGGUGUCAGAAAAGUUACCACAGGGAUAACUGGCUUGUGGCAGCCAAGCGUUCAUAGCGACGUUGCUUUUUGAUCCUUCGAUGUCGCCUCUUCC